UACGUAGGGUGCGAGCGUUGUCCGGAAUUAGUUGGGCGUAAAGAGCUUGUAGGCGGUCUGUCGCGUCUGCUGUGAAAAUCCGGGGCUCAACCCCGGACUUGCAGUGGGUACGGGCAGACUAGAGGUGUGGUAGGGGAGACUGGAAUUCCGUGGUGAUAGCGGUGAAAUGCGCAGAUAUCAGGAGGAACACCGAGUGGCGAAGGCAGGUCUCUGGGCCAC
rnacentral:rRNA from 1 species